CUUCUUUCCUCCCGAGUGCUUGCACUCAAUUGGAAAGAGGAGUGGCGGACGGGUGAGUAACACGUGGGUAACCUACCCAUCAGAGGGGGAUAACACUUGGAAACAGGUGCUAAUACCGCAUAACAGUUUAUGCCGCAUGGCAUAAGAGUGAAAGGCGCUUUCGGGUGUCGCUGAUGGAUGGACCCGCGGUGCAUUAGCUAGUUGGUGAGGUAACGGCUCACCAAGGCCAUGAUGCAUAGCCGACCUGAGAGGGUGAUCGGCCACACUGGGACUGAGACACGGCCCAGACUCCUACGGGAGGCAGCAGUAGGGAAUCUUCGGCAAUGGACGAAAGUCUGACCGAGCAACGCCGCGUGAGUGAAGAAGGUUUUCGGAUCGUAAAACUCUGUUGUUAGAGAAGAACAAGGACGUUAGUAACUGAACGUCCCCUGACGGUAUCUAACCAGAAAGCCACGGCUAACUACGUGCCAGCAGCCGCGG
rnacentral:rRNA from 1 species